AUUAAUAUGGUUGACACAUACAACCUUCUGGAUCUUCCUUUUUUUCAGGUAAGUUUACUUGGGCUCGAAACCAAACUCUUGUUCAUUUGGACCGAGCUCUUGUUAACAAUGCUUGGCUUCAGAUGUUCCCGUAUUCUUCCAUUGUUCACCUUCACAAGCUCAAGUAGAGCUAUCGACCCAUCCUACUUUGCCCGACUAAUUAGGUGUUUCAAUCUAAUGCUAAACCUUUUCGUUUUUUAUCUACUUGGUUAUCACAUCCUAGUUUUAACCAUGUGAUUAAAAAAAUGGUUGACAAGAUACGAGCUCCCAAUAGCUAUCGCUGACCUCACUUCUGUCUUGCAAGAUUGGAAUAAAAUGGUUUUUUGAAAUAUCUUCUGAAGAAAUGCCCAUCUGAUCAAAGACUUACAAACUGCUGAAAGAACUGUUGCCUUACAUGCUUCUUCCUCCAAUAUAGCAGUUGAACAAGUUAUCAGACAAAAACACGAGUUGGUCUUAUCGCUGGAGGAGCUUAUUUGGAUGCAAAAGGAUCGUACUAAAUGGGUUAUGGAGGGUGAUAGAAACACCCAGUAUUUCCAUCUGGCUACUCUCAAAUGUAGGUCUUUCAAUCUGGUCAUGCGCUUCAAGAACGACGAGGGUGUUUAAAUUUCAGAGCGGGAUGUUCUUCAGGAAAUGACUCUCUCCUUCUUCAAAAUGAUGUACCAGUUGGCAUAGGUUCCUUCUCAUUGUGUGGUUGGUUUCUCAGCUUAGAUUCCUUUAGAGACGAGAGAAGGACUGACGCGUUCGCUCUCACCCUUAGAAAUUCAUUAUGCUCUCAAGAGUAUGGGCGGCCUCAAGGCUCCGGGGAAGGAUGGGUUUCACCCAAUUUUUUCCCAGAAAUGUUGGAAAGUGGUGGGAAAAGAUUUUGUUUCUUUUGUGGGUGAAUGCUUCCGGAAUCCUAUACAAGUGGAGAAAGCCAAUAGUACUUUAAUCACUCUUAUUCCUAAGAAGCAAAAUCGAGCUACUAUGGUGGACUUCCGCCCAAUUAGUCCCUACAAUGUUGUCUUUAAAAUCCUGACCAAAUGUGUGGCUAACCGUAUCAAGACCUUCAUGGGUUCUCUUACCCACCCUUCUCAGACCAAUUUUAUUCUUAGGAGACACAUCACAGACAACAUCCUGAUUCUGCAAGAAAUUGUGCACUCUAUGAGUACUGCUGGUGUCAGAAACCCUUCCAUGGUGAUUAAAAUUGAUCUUGUUAAAGCGUAUGACAAGAUUGAAUGGAGCUUUGAUCGUAACACAAUUGAACCUAUGGGAUUUCAUUUGGGGAUCUUUUGAUGGCGUCCACAAAAUUCAUAACAUUAAUGAGGAGAUGGUCUAUAAACCUAAAAGCAUGGGUGGUUUGGGUUUACGUAGUGCCCGAGAAAUGAAUGUGGCGUUCCUUAUGAAAAUGACUUGGGGAAUCAUGCAUAUACCAGAUGAGCUUUGGGCCCAAGUGAUGAUUACGAAGUAUCAGCGACAUACGGAUGCUGGUUAUGUUGAUUCAAAUAGGAAGUCUCAGCGGCUUGGAGAAGUGUUAAGAAAGCAAGGCAUGAAAGGGGUAUUCGCUCUGGUCAACAAAUCAAAUUAUGGACUGACAGAUGGGCUGAUAGCGGGAAUAUCCUAAUCGAUCACACUACUAAUAUUCAGAGAGUUGUUGUCACUGCUACUGUCUCUGAUUUUUUCCUUGACUGGAGCAUGUGGAAUGAUACUUUAAUUUUUGCUGCUCUUCCUGUUGACAUUGCUAGGCAGGUUUUGGGUAUGACGCCCUCAAAGGUAUCUCUGGACAGGAUUCAUUGGUUUGGGGUUUCGAUCGACGUAUAUUCUUUUGAAGAAGCUCCAAGAUGAGUCGAGCAGCUCCAAGUGGAAAAAUAUAUUGAAGUGGCAUGGGCCCAAUAAGAUUCGCCAUUUCCUCUGGUUGGCCUCUCAUGACAGACUUCUCAAGAAUUCAGAGCAAGGACGUCGACGCCUCACUAAUCGGGUGAUUUGUUUCUAUUGUUCUUCUGCACUUGAGAUUUGUGUAAUGUUCUUAGGGACUGCUGUUUUGCCAGACAUGCUUGGGCUAAGUUCCUGCGCAGGUAUUCCCCGUAUGGAGCUCGACAAGACGGGUGAAGGAUGGCUGGCUGAUAACAUCAACAACUCGCAGCAUUCCCUGGCUUUUGGUGUUGGCUCCUGGUUACUUUGGCAAGCAAGGAACAAACAUAUUUUCGAGCAAGAGAAGGACACUUUUGUGGAUGUGAUUUGUAGGUGUGAUUAUUGGGUAGCCCUUGUUACUUCGAGCUGGAAGGCCGGUCAGAUGGGUCGAAAAGAGCCGAGUUUGGUUCGACAGGCCCAACUGAUUGGAUGGCGGCCGGAUAACGAGGGUUGGUAUACUCUUAGCACCGACGGGUCUCUCCACUCUGAUAUUGCAGCUACAGGGGGGCUUAUUUGAAAUGAUAGAGGCUCUUUUAUCAAAGCCUUCACUUUCAAUCUGGUAAGCUAUUCUAUUAUUACUUAGGCUGAAAUGACGGGCAUUGCCAAUUGCCUUGAACUGGCAUGGUCGCUGGGGAUUCGAAAGCUCCGUGUCCAAUCAGACUCUAAGACCGAUAUUUCACUCCUUCCCAAACCUUUUUCCCUGGAUCAUCAAUAUGCUAUUCUUGUUUUGCAGUUUCAGGAACUUUGCACACGUUACUGAAAAAUUGAUGUUUUCCAUUUUUAUCGUAAAGCCAACUAUACUACGAAUUAUCUGGCUAACUUUGACAACUCUUAUUUAUAUGUUUACACAACCGAAGCCUAUCCCACUAACUGCAUUAUAACUCUAUUGGUGUGUCUUUACCACAGUUUAUUCUUGUGGGUUCUAAUAAUACUUAAUCAGCCCUUAAGCGCUGCUUCUUACCCAAAAAAAAUAUCGAUAGCCCUAAAGGCUCCAAAGAAAUUAGAUAGAAAUCCGAACUCAUCGGCUCUGGCUCCACUUAAUGCGUGUCGAUCUCCAGCCCUCCUUUCAUCAGCGACUUCCACCAAUUCUUCUUGUCGUCCGCCGAUCUCGUCAGCAGAACCGAGACAAUCCUCUUCUCCUCCAAGUUCCAGAACGAUUCCCAGACUUUCUCCACGCCGCUCAGCUCCCCAUCAAUGAUCGUUGCCGCCAGCGGUCCCUUGAUUUCGAGUUUUAGGGAUGUCUUCUUAAUCUCGCAGGUGAUCUGCUUCGAUCUCAUCCCCUGGGGUAUUUGGGAUUGUUAUCGUAGCUUCUUGGAAACAUUAAUGUUCCCCAUACGGCUCAUGGACAGAGUAAGCGAUCUCCUCCAGUUUUCAGUCCCGUUCUUGGCAUCGUCGGCGUACUCUCCGGUGAUCUGUUUGGUGUCGCUGCUGUAGAGCAACUGCUGGUCAACACCCAGCACGGAUUUUUAAGCCAAAACCCUCUUGUAGUAAGAGUUUGAUAGUUGGUAUUUGGGUGCUGGUGAUGCAUCUGGGUUUAGAUAAACCCAGGAAGAAGAUUUGUUGGUGUUGGGGCAUGCCUUUCGUAAUUGACCGGCGAAUUGUUUGUUCAUGGUUGGGUCUGCUUUCCCUGUUUUGUUGAAGUUUUAGAGUUGGUCUGCCACGUUGUUGCAGUCUGUCUUUCCGAUCGAGUCUGCCCCUGCAUCAUAACGUAAAAUAUGCAUAUAAUAUGCUAAUAGUGUUACCUGCUCGGCUUGGAGUCGUCGGCAUAUCACUCUUUUAUCUUGUGCAACUUACAGAAAUAAAUACUAUCGUAGAUAUAAUAUAAGAGUGUACCUAAAAGGGUGGCCAUGUCAAGAACAUCCAGCCCUCCAGACUUGAAGUAAGCCAAAACCGCUUUGCUGGAGAUUGACGGCGAUGACAGAUCCACCCACGACGCGGAUGACGACAUCCCGUCUCUUCUUCCUGUGAAUACGGGGUACGACGGCCAUCCCGCCGGUAAAAAAAACCGAAAAGUUGAUUAAUUUUUGGAAAUAUAUGUUGUACGGGAUACCACUUGUAUUUUGUUGUACGGGAUACCACUUGUAUUUAUACGAUAUAUACUAAUCAUUGAGGUUUUUUCGAACACCGAACAUCACUUAUGUUUAUUUUUUAUAGCACUAAUCAAUUUUUUCAUUCAUCUGAGAUAGUCGGUUGGUGCUAUUAAAAAUAACAUAAGUGACACUAAAUUUUUGAAAUAAAUGUUAUAUAUAUAUAUAAAAGCAAAACAUAAUUGGUAUCUAAUGCAUUUUACUCUUUUUAAUUUAGUUUUUAGCUGAUCGAAUAUUCAUACCAAAUGAGCAGCAUAUCUGGUGGUGAGGUUGAGGAUGCCGGCACAGGAGACGACACCCGGGCAAAGGGCCUCCACCACCUUCUUGAUUCGGUCGAUGUAUGAAAUGCAGAAUGAUGAAGAGCUGAAGAACAAACGGAGUUAAGGAGAAGAGGCGAAGACCGUUAGUCAACGGUGAAGAAAGAAGAGAAGAAAGCUUAAAUGAAGUGCUGCGUUUCAUUCUCCGUUUGUUAUUUGUCGUUCUGUGUAUCAAAACUUGCCACGUGGUUUUACCCGCGUUUUUCACUUUCAGUUUUACUGUUUUGUUACCGUUGGGUCAGUAUAUAAACCCAACCAGAACAGAGUGAAAGGUUAAGAGUUUUCAGACUCCAUUUUCAUCUUCUUCCUUCUUCUGCUCGUUCUCUGAACUUCCAAUCCAUCCCUCAAUCAAACUAAUAUGGUAUCAGAGUCUCGUGCUACCUGAUUAGCAUCAAUGAAUCGAAAUAAUGAAGAUGAUGAUGAUGACGAUGAACAUCAUAAUCAUCAACAAACUCCAGGGUUCACAUUUGGAUCCAUGGGAAACGUACAUCGCAGCAGAGAUACUUCUCCAAUAACCUCAUCUAUUCAUCUAACCUUUGGUAACCCUUACUAUCUCAAUCCUAAUGAAAAUCUGUCACAAUCUAUAGUCAGUACUGUAUUGGAUGGAUCAAACUACCAAAUGUGGAGUAGAUCUGUGCGUUUUGCGUUGAAGACUAAGCAUAAAGUGGGAUUUAUCGACGGAUCUAUCGUUCCUCCAGCUCCUGGUAGUGAACGAUAUCCUCUAUGGGAUGCAUGUAAUACUACGGUGCUUUGUUGGAUCACUAACUCACUGCAUCCAGAGAUUCGCAGAAGCGUACUUAAUCAUGAAAAUGCUCUAGUUCUCUGGCAAGAACUUAAACGAAGAUUUGGACAAGCUAAUGCACUAAAGAUGGCUAAUCUACAAGAUGAGAUACAUGCAUGCAAGCAGGGUCAGAAAUCAGUCACUCAAUACUAUACAGUGAUAAAGGGACUCUGGGAGGAAUACAGCCAGUUUUCUCCUAUUGUUCCCUGCUCUUGUGCUCCAACUAAUGUUCUACCCUGUGCAGCAGUAGUAGCCUUCCAGGAGAAACAGGAUACUGAUUAUCUAAUCAGAUUUCUCAGGGGCUUGAAUGAUGAGUUUGAUGUAGUAAGGACACAGUUNNNNNNNNNNNNNNNNNNNNNNNNNNNNNNNNNNNNNNNNNNNNNNNNNNNNNNNNNNNNNNNNNNNNNNNNNNNNNNNNNNNNNNNNNNNNNNNNNNNNNNNNNNNNNNNNNNNNNNNNNNNNNNNNNNNNNNNNNNNNNNNNNNNNNNNNNNNNNNNNNNNNNNNNNNNNNNNNNNNNNNNNNNNNNNNNNNNNNNNNNNNNNNNNNNNNNNNNNNNNNNNNNNNNNNNNNNNNNNNNNNNNNNNNNNNNNNNNNNNNNNNNNNNNNNNNNNNNNNNNNNNNNNNNNNNNNNNNNNNNNNNNNNNNNNNNNNNNNNNNNNNNNNNNNNNNNNNNNNNNNNNNNNNNNNNNNNNNNNNNNNNNNNNNNNNNNNNNNNNNNNNNNNNNNNNNNNNNNNNNNNNNNNNNNNNNNNNNNNNNNNNNNNNNNNNNNNNNNNNNNNNNNNNNNNNNNNNNNNNNNNNNNNNNUUUCUUCCUGACUCUUCUCCUAUGUCUGUUAGUCAUGUUGGUAGUGUAAAACUGCCUCAUGGUCAAGUCAUUCAUAACGUGCUGUGUGUGCCAAGUUUUCAUUUCAAUCUCGUCUCAGUCAGUAAACUAACAUCUCACCUUCCUGUUUCCCUUACAUUCCAAUCAAACAAAUGUCAGCUCCAGGAUCUCACCACAGGCAAGACGAUUGGUUUAGCCACUCAGACUAGAGGACUAUACCAUCUCCAGCCAAAUGACAAACACAUUUCAUCUCCCUCUUCCUUCCCUACUCACAAAUCUCAAGUAGCUGUUAGUCACAACUAUCAGCCAGAAGAAAUCAGUCUCUGGCAUUGGCGAAUGGGGCAUCCUAGUGCAGAGAAACUGAAGCUCCUGAGUGCAUCUGAUCAAAAUAUUCUUCCUGAAACAUUAACUCAUUGUUCCAUUUGUCACUUUUCUAAACAUAAACGUUUGCCCUUUCAUAGCAGCCAAACUACUGUUACUGCUGCUUUCGAUCUCAUCCACACUGACAUUUGGGGCCCUCUAUCUACUGAAUCUUAUGAUGGAUUCUUAUAUUUUCUUACUAUUGUUGAUGAUUAUUCACGAGGAGUUUGGAUAUAUCUAAUGAAGUACAAAUCUGAAGCUCGAGCUUUAUUGCAAUCUUUCUGUGUCAUGAUCCAAACUCAGUUCAAAGUCAAAGUUAAGAUGAUUAGGAGUGAUCAAGGGAAAGAAUUUCAUAUGUCUGAUUUCUAUUCUGAGCAUGGUAUAAUUCACCAAAUGUCAUGCGUCCAAACACCUGAACAAAAUGCUAAGGUAGAACGAAAGCACCAGCAUAUUUUGAAUGUAGCAAGUAGCACAUCUUGAAUGUUGCAAGAGCCUUACAAUUCCAGUCAGGUCUCCCCCUAGUUUAUUGGUCUGAUUUUGUUCUCCACUCUGUCUAUUUGAUCAACAGAACUCCCUCUUCUGCUAUACAAAACAAAACACCAUUCGAAAUGAUCUACAAUAAACCUCCUCUUCUUGCUCAUAUCAAGGUUUUUGGGUGCUUAGCUUAUGCUGCUACUCUCUCUCAUAAUCGAGGAAAAUUCCAACCUCGUGCUAAGCAAAGUAUUCUUCUUGGAAUACCUUCUCAUAUUAAAGGAUAUAAGUUGCUUGAUCUCGCUACUCAUAAUGUGUAUAUAUCCAGAGAUGUCGUAUUCUAUGAGAAUAUUUUCCCUUUCAAGUCCGACACACUGUCUACCACUACACCCGUAUUAUCUACUACUACACCUAUUGAAUCCGAAAUUCUCAUAUCUCCCACUGUGCAUACUGAUGUUUCUGUCCCAUCCCCAUCGCUACCAAAUUCACCUGUGCCUAAUCAUGAUCCUAGUCCAUCACAUUCUUCAGUGUCAGAAGUUCCCAAUUCAUAUUCACAUGUCACUAAUCGUUCAUCCCAGCUGCAGGGUUUACUUUCUGAUAGUGAGGAAGAUGAGGAAGUUUCAGAUCCUGAAAUUCAUCCAGCAGGGGAGGGAUUGCAGUCCGUGUCGCUCCGUGCUGCUGGAUGCUAGAACUUCCACUAGGACAAGACGUCCACCUGUACAUUUACAGGACUAUCAUUUGGAUGCUUAUGUUACCAAGCAUUCUCUAGCUUCAGUCAUAUCUUAUAAUAACCUUUCUGAACAAUUUAAACGAUUUGCUUUGAGCAUAAUGAUUCACCAGGAACCAAAGACUUUUAAGGAAGCUAUGAAGGAUCCAAAUUGGAAUGUGGCAUUGCAGAAUGAGCUUGGAGCACUCAAUGAGAAUCAUACUUGGGAUGUGGUUCCAGACUCAGAUGAAUUUCACAAAUUGGGAACGAAGUGGGUGUUCAAACUAAAACUGAAACCAGAUGGAAGUGUUGAAAGGCAUAAAGCAAGACUGGUGGCUCAAGGUUUCGAUCAAAUAAAAGGUGUUGACUUUGUUGACACCUUCUCUCCAGUAGCUAAAAUAAACACAGUAAAAGCCUUGUUGGCAGUCGCAGCAGCUAUGAACUUAUACUUGGAGCAAAUGGAUGUGUCAAACGCUUUUCUACAUGGAGACUUGAAUGAAGAUGUAUAUUUGAAGAUCCCAGCAGGAUUAGAUGCCCCACAGGGAGCAUGUUUAAAGCUAAAGAAAUCUCUUUAUAGUUUGAAGCAGGCCAGUAGGCAGUGGUUCUCUAAACUCACUUGUGCCUUGUUGAAGAAUGGUUUUAAGCAAACCAGUUCAGACUAUUCCUUAUUCGUUAAGGAAACUGGACAAUCACAGGUAAUACUGUUGGUCUAUGUUGAUGAUAUUAUACUGGCAGGAAAAGAUUUGUCACAAAUCAAAGAAGUGAAGGCUUAUUUGCAUCAGCAGUUCAAGAUAAAAGAUUUGGGAGAACUUAGAUAUUUCUUGGGCCUGGAGAUUGCUCGUUCCAAGGCAGGGAUGGUAAUGAAUCAGAGAAAGUAUUGUGUAGAGUUGCUGACGGAUACAGGGUUCCUGGAGGCAAAAGGAUGUAAAAGUCCAAUGGAUGUGAACUUGCGAUUGAGCACACAACAAGGUGAUCCUUUGAAGGAUCCUUCCAUGUACAGAAACUUAGUGGGGAGGCUACAUUACCUUACAAUUACAAGGCCUGACAUUACGUUUGCAGUUCAACAAUUGAGUCAGUUUCAAAAUAGCCCUUGUAGUGGACAUUUAGAAGCAGCACAUCGAGUAUUGCGGGAUUAGCAGCACAUCGAGUAUUGAGGUAUUUGAAGUCCUCACCAGGACAGGGCCUAAUAUAUAAAUCAUCUAAUAAUCUAUGCCUGACAGGGUAUUGUGAUUCAGAUUGGGCAGCAUGUCCUGACACCAGAAGAUCUAUUUCUGGUUAUUGCACGUAUCUUGGUGAUUCAUUGAUUACAUGGAGGUCUAAGAAACAGGGAACUGUUUCUAGAUCAUCUUCCGAAGCUGAAUAUAGAUCAAUUGCUCAUUUGGUAUGUGAAAUGCAGUGGAUGUCAGAAUUACUCAAGGAGAUGAAAGUCAAGGUUCCUCUACCUAUGGUGAUCUACUAUGACAACAAGUCAGCCAUCUACAUUGCAGAGAAUCCAGUUUUCCACGAAAGAACGAAGCAUAUUGAAAUUGAUUGCCAUGUUACGAGAGAAAGAAUCAAGUCAGGAAUGAUCAAGUUGAAGCAUAUAGGAACAAACGACCAGCCUGCAGAUGUUUUCACUAAAGCCUUACACAGAACUCGAUUACAUAUGCUGCUUGGCAAGUUGGGAGUUUAUAACAUUUACUCUCCAACUUGUGGGAGGGUAUGAAAUGCAGAAUGAUGAAGAGCUGAAGAACAAACGGAGUUAAGGAGAAGAGACGAAGACCGUUAGUCAACGUUGAAGAAAGAAGAGAAGAAUGCUUAAAUGAAGCGCUGCGUUUCAUUCUCCGUUUGUUAUUUGUCGUUCUGUGUAUCAAAACUUGCCACGUGGUUUUACCCGCGUUUUUCACUUUCAGUUUUACUGUUUUGUUACCGUUGGGUCAGUAUAUAAACCCAACCAGAACAGAGUGAAAGGUUAAGAGUUUUCAGACUCCAUUUUCA
rnacentral:lncRNA from 1 species